UGGGGGAUAUUGCACAAUGGGCGAAAGCCUGAUGCAGCGACGCCGCGUGGGGGAUGAAGGCUUUCGGGUUGUAAACCUCUUUCGCUAUCGAACAAGGCCCGCUUAGGGUGGGUUGAGGGUAGGUGGAGAAGAAGCGCCGGCUAACUACGUGCCAGCAGCCGCGGUAAUACGUAGGGCGCGAGCGUUGUCCGGAAUUAUUGGGCGUAAAGGGCUUGUAGGCGGCUUGUUGCGCCUGCUGUGAAAACGCGGGGCUUAACUUCGGGCGUGCAGUGGGUACGGGCAGGCUUGAGUGGGGUAGGGGUGACUGGAAUUCCAGGUGUAGCGGUGGAAUGCGCAGAUAUCUGGAGGAACACCGAUGGCGAAGGCAGGUCACUGGGCCAUUACUGACGCUGAGGAGCGAAAGCAUGGGUAGCGAACAGG
rnacentral:rRNA from 1 species